GACGAACGCUGGCGGCGUGCCUAACACAUGCAAGUCGAACGGGACCCGCAAGGGUUCAGUGGCGAACGGGUGCGUAACACGUGAAGAAUUUAUCCAACGGCGGGGGAUAGCCGGCCCAACGGCCGGGUAAUACCGCGUACGACCCUCGGGGGGCAUCCCCUGAAGGUGAAAGCCGCAAGGCGCCGAUGGAGAACUUCGCGGCCUAUCAGCUAGUUGGUGAGGUCAUGGCUCACCAAGGCGACGACGGGAGCUGGUCCGAGAGGAUGACCAGCCACAUUGGGACUGAGACACGGCCCAGACUCCUACGGGAGGCAGCAGUGGGGAAUAUUGCGCAAUGGGCGAAAGCCUGACGCAGCGACGCCGCGUGUGGGAUGACGGCCUC
rnacentral:rRNA from 1 species